UACGUAGGUGGCGAGCGUUGUCCGGAUUUACUGGGCGUAAAGGGAGCGUAGGCGGACUUUUGAGUGAGAUGUGAAAUACUCGGGCUCAACUUGAGUGCUGCAUUUCAAACUGGAAGUCUAGAGUGCAGGAGAGGUGAAUGGAAUUCCUAGUGUAGCGGUGAAAUGCGUAGAGAUUAGGAAGAACACCAGUGGCGAAGGCGAUUCUCUGGACUGUAACUGACGCUGAGGCUCGAAAGCGUGGGGAGCAAACAGG
rnacentral:rRNA from 1 species